GAAAUGCGAUAAGUAAUGUGAAUUGCAGAAUUCCGUGAAUCAUCGAAUCUUUGAACGCACAUUGCGCCCUCUGGUAUUCCGGGGGGCAUGCCUGUCCGAGCGUCAUUGCGAACCCCUCAAGCACGGCUUGUGUGAUGGGCCCUCCCGCGUCUUUGUCGUCAAGACGGGCCCGAAAUGCAGUGGCGGCUUCGCGGUUAUCCGAUCAGCCAGAGCGUAUGGGGACUUUCUCUCUGUCACACGCCCGCGGCGCGGACCGACGCCUGUCGACCUUUAUUCAUCUUUUUCUCGGUUGACCUCGGAUCAGGUAGGGAUACCCGCUGAACUUAAGC
rnacentral:misc_RNA from 1 species